rnacentral:hammerhead_ribozyme from 1 species
AUCCAGAUGAGGAGUCCCAAAUAGGACGAAACGCGCGUCGUGGAU